AGAACGAACGCUGGCGGCAGGCCUAAUACAUGCAAGUCGAACGCACUCUUCGGAGUGAGUGGCAGACGGGUGAGUAACGCGUGGGAACCUUCCCAAUGGUACGGAAUAACUCCGGGAAACCGGUGCUAAUACCGUAUAAGCCCCUCGGGGGAAAGAUUUAUCGCCAUUGGAUGGGCCCGCGUCGGAUUAGCUAGUUGGUAAGGUAAUGGCUUACCAAGGCUACGAUCCGUAGCUGGUCUGAGAGGAUGAUCAGCCACACUGGGACUGAGACACGGCCCAGACUCCUACGGGAGGCAGCAGUAGGGAAUCUUGGACAAUGGGCGAAAGCCUGAUCCAGCCAUGCCGCGUGAGUGAAGAAGGCCUUAGGGUUGUAAAGCUCGUUUUGGCGGGGACGAUAAUGACGGUACCCGCAGAAUAAGCCCCGGCUAACUUCGUGCCAGCAGCCGC
rnacentral:rRNA from 1 species